AUCUAGUUGACGAGUCCCAAAUAGGACGGAAUGUGUGUCCUGGAU
rnacentral:hammerhead_ribozyme from 1 species